GAAAAAGAGGAGAGGUACAGUCAUGCAAAAUGGAAGCCAGUAAAUUAGUUUUGAGGCCAUUCUGCUAGUCUACUCAAAAGAAGGGAAGCUUAGGUUGGCUUGACCAUGGAACUGAUGAAAUUGGUUGUAUAUCUUACAGGCCAGUAGAGAGUGGCAUGACAUAUUUAAAGUGCUGAAGGAGAAAAAGUUUUAUCGCAGAAUAGAAUAUUCAGCAAAAAUAUCUCUCAUACAUUAGGGAGAAAUAAAGACUUUCCCAGAUAAUCAAAACCUAUGGGAUUUCAUUAAUAUCAGAUGUGUCCAACAAGAAAUGCUAAAGAGUUCUUCAAUCUGAAAGAAAGGGAUAUUAAUGAGCAAUAAAAAAAUCUGAAGGAAGAAAACUCGUGGGUUAUAGUAAGAAAAUGGAAAAAUGCAGAAUAUUAUAACACUGUAAUUGUGGGAUAUAAGUUACUCAUAUCUUGAGUAGAAAGAAUAAAAGAUAUACCUAUCAAAAAUAAUAACUACAACUUUUCAAUACAUAGACAGUACAAUAAGAUAUAAAUAGAAACAACAGAAAGUUAAAAAGUGGGGAGUGAAUUUGAAGUGUAGAGUAUUAGUUUUCUCUUUGGUUGUUAAUUUGUUUAUAAAAUCAGAUUAAAAUAAUGACUUCUAAAACAUUAUUUGCAAGCCUCAUUGUAACCUCAAAUCAGAAAAAUCUUCAACAAAUACACAAAAAUAAAAGAGAAAAAUGAAAAUAUACUACCAGAGAAAAUCACUUUCACUGAAAAGAAGACAGGAAGGAAGGAAAGGAGAAAUUUGUGAAACGACCAGAAAAUAAAUAACAAAAUGGCAAAAGUAAGUUCUUACUUAUCAAUAAUAACACUCAAUAUAGUCUAAACUCUAAUCAGGAGGCAGAGUGGCUGAAUGAAUUUUAAAAAGAUCCAAUGAUCUGUUGCCUAUGAGAAAAACAUUUCACUUGUAAUGACACAUAUAAAUUCAAAAUAAAGGGAUGGAAAAGCGUAUUCCUGCAAAUGGACACAAAAAAGGUGCAAAACUAUCUACACUUAAAUCAAACAAAACAAAUUUAAAGACAAAAACUAUAAAAAGAGACAAAGAAGAUUAUAUAAUAAUAAAGCAGUAAAUUCAGCAAGAAGAUAUAACAAUUUUAAACAUAUAUGCACUCAACACUGGAGCUCCCAGGUACCUAGAGCAAAUAUUAAUAGAGCUAAAGAGAGAGAGACCCCAAUGCAAUAAUAGCUGGAGGCUUCAACACCCUCACUUUUACCUUCGUACAGACCAUCUAGACAGAAAAUUAGCAAACUAACAUUGGACUUAAUCUGACCAAAUGGACAUAAUAGAUGUUUACAGAACAUUUUAUCCAAGAGCUGCAGAACAGACUUUCUUUUGCUCAGCCUGUAGAUCACUCUCAAAGGUAAACCAUAUGUUAAGUCACAAAACAAGUCUUAAAACAUU
rnacentral:lncRNA from 1 species